rnacentral:rRNA from 1 species
GAUGAACGCUGGCGGCGUGCUUAACACAUGCAAGUCGAACGGUGAAGGCGGAGCUUGCUCUGCUGGAUCAGUGGCGAACGGGUGGGUAACACGUGAGCAAUCUGCCCUUGACUCUGGGAUAAGCGCUGGAAACGGCGUCUAAUACAGGAUACGAGCUGCGAAGGCAUCUUCAGCAGCUGGAAAGAACUGCGGUCAGGGAUGAGCUCGCGGCCUACCAGCUUGUUGGUGAGGUAACGGCUCACCCAGGCGUCGACGGGUAGCCGGCCUGAGAGGGUGACCGGCCACCCUGGGACUAAGACACGGCGCAGACUCCUACGGGGGGCAGAAGUGGGAAGUAUUGCACAGUGGGCGCGAGCCUGUUGCAGCGACGCCGGGUGAGUAACGACGGCCUUCGGGUUAUAAACAGCUUUUAGCAGAGAAGAAGCGAAAGUGACGGUACCUGCAGAAAAAGCGCCGGCUAACUACGUG